CGUAGGGGCGAGCGUUGUCCGGAAUGAUUGGGCGUAAAGGGCGCGUAGGCGGCCUGCUAAGUUAGGAGUGGAAGUCCCGGUUCAAGUUGGGAAUUGCUUUUAAUACUGGCGGGCUGGAGUACAGGAGAGGAAAGCGGAAUUACCGGUGUAGCGGUGAAAUGCGUAGAGAUCGGUAGGAACACCAGUGGCGAAGGCGGCUUUCUGGACUGAAACUGACGCUGAGGCGCGAAAGCGUGGGAGCAAACAGGAUU
rnacentral:rRNA from 1 species